AUGUUUCUCUUCAUCUACAUUAUAAUACAGCUUUACAUGGGAAUGUCUUUUUCAGAUGAAAUACAUCCCCUGUCUUCAGAUAAACAUGUAGCUGAAGGUCAAAAUGUGACUCUAUGUUGUAAUUACAGAGCCAGUACUGGCAAUGUUGACUCUCUCCUGUGGUAUCGUCAGUAUCCCGGAGCAAACCCAGAGUAUUUACUGCUGCUCAAUGAAUAUUCAAACAGCACUAAGUCUUAUCUUCGUCUAUUUUCAAACGCUGUAAAAGCACUGAAGCGUGUGGAUCUGCUGCUCUCCUCUGCUGCAGUAUCAGACUCUGCUGUGUAUUACUGUGCUCUGAGGCCCACAGUCACAGGAAACACACAAACACUGAACAAAAACCUAAAGCACAUCUAA